rnacentral:rRNA from 1 species
UGGGGAAUAUUGCACAAUGGGGCGAAAGCCUGAUGCAGCGACGCCGCGUGAAGGAAGAAGUAUUUCGGUAUGUAAACUUCUAUCAGCAGGGAAGAAAAUGACGGUACCUGACUAAGAAGCUCCGGCUAAAUACGUGCCAGCAGCCGCGGUAAUACGUAUGGAGCAAGCGUUAUCCGGAUUUACUGGGUGUAAAGGGAGCGCAGGCGGCAUGGCAAGCCAGAUGUGAAAGGCAGGGGCUCAACCCUUGGACUGCAUUUGGAACUGUCAGGCUGGAGUGCAGGAGAGGCAGGCGGAAUUCCUAGUGUAGCGGUGAAAUGCGUAGAUAUUAGGAGGAACACCAGUGGCGAAGGCGGCCUGCUGGACUGUAACUGACGCUGAGGCUCGAAAGCGUGGGGAGCAAACAGGAUUAGAUACCCCUGGUAGU